GCGGGGUCCGAGUUGUMAUUUGUAGAGGGUGUUUMGGGUGCGGUGCCGGUCUAAGUUCCUUGGAACAGGACGUCAUAGAGGGUGAGAAUCCCGUCUGCGAGUCGGCCACCAWCCCCGGGUGAAACCCCUUCGACGAGUCGAGUUGUUUGGGAAUGCAGCUCAAAAUGGGUGGUAAAUAUCAUCUAAAGCUAAAUACCGGCCAGAGACCGAUAGCGCACAAGUAGAGUGAUCGAAAGAUGAAAAGCACUUUGGAAAGAGAGUUAAAAAGUACGUGAAAUUGUUGAAAGGGAAGCGCUUGCGACCAGACCUGCCCUCGGGCGAUCAUCCGCCAUUCGUGGCGGUGCACUCGCCCGGAUGCAGGCCAGCAUCGGUUCGGGCGGCGGGACAAAGGACUCGGGAACGUAGCUCUCUCCGGGGAGCCUUAUAGCCCGGGUCGCCAUGCCGCCCGCCUGGACCGAGGACCGCGCUUCGGCUAGGAUGCUGGCGUAAUGGUCGUAAGCGACCCGUCUUGAAACACGGACCAAGGAGUCUACCAUCCAUGCGAGUGUUUGGGUGUCAAACCCAGGCGCGGAAUGAAAGUGAACGGAGGUGAGACCCCGCAAGGGCGCAUCAUCGACCGAUCCAGAUGUCUUCGGAUGGAUUUGAGUACGAGCAUGGCUGGUGGGACCCGAAAGAUGAUGAACUAUGCCUGAAUAGGGUGAAGCCAGAGGAAACUCUGGUGGAGGCUCGCAGCGGUUCUGACGUGCAAAUCGAUCGUCGAAUUUGGGUAUAGGGGGCGAAAGACCAAUCGAAUCAUCUAGUAGCUGGUUUACGUCGAAGUUUCCCUCAGGAUAGCAGUAACGUGUUCAGUUUUAUGAGGUAAAGCGAAUGAUUAGAGGCCUUGGGGAUGCAACAUCCUUAACCUAUUCUCAACUUUAAUAUGUAAGAAGUCCUUGUUUCUUAAUUGAACGUGGNCAUUUGAAUGGAUCGUUACUAGUGGSCAUUUUUGGUAAGCAGACUGGCGAUGCGGAUGACGACGCGAGUAGUGCCGA
rnacentral:rRNA from 1 species